AACCAUUUUACCUUUUUUUGUGAUCAAGACGAAACUAUCCAUCACUUGUUUUUCGAUUGUCCUAUGGCGCGCCUCGUGGUCGAGAGUUGUCUUUGUGACUUUUCGUCUCCCCACACCCAUUUGCAUCUCAAAUUUGUUCGGUCGUUGACUCCGUGGGAUGGAGAAACUCUCAAAUCACUCAUUCUUGUUGAGUCUUGUGCGAUUUGUUGAUUUAUUUGGAAUUGUCGGAGUGAUUUGAUUUUUAACAAAAAAAAAGUUUUCAAUUUUUUGCAAAUGGUUUGUUGGACACGUAGUGACUUCGUACUUGAUCGCUACUGCUUCCGACGGGGACCAAGGAUUUUACGAAUCAUGGGUGCAACCGUACAAAGACGGUAGCACGAAAGUUUUAGGUUGCGCGCCGAAUGGAUGAUGUUUUUCCAGAUUCUUUGUUUUCUUUUGAGCCCUUUUAAAUUGUACUUGUGGAUAAUCAUAGGUUACCUUGGCUUAAUAAUAUUAUAGAUGUGUGCGCCCAUCGAUGCCGUGGCCGCGAGUAUUCCCUCAUUUUUGAAAAAAAGAAGCCAUUUGACCUUUUUUUUACAAGAAAAGAAGGUAUUUUCAUCAACCAUUUUACCUUGACUUAGCCAAGAGGUUCAGAUUCAGCAUUUAGUAUGAGAUAUUCCAACUUAUCUUUGGCUACCAGUUUGCGCGCAGAAACCUGUUGGAAUCACUAUGCCAACCCCAAUCAGAACUUGAAUUAUAACUACACAUCAAUGAGGAGCAACUUGAGAAAUAGAAGCCUUAUGUCAGGAUCUAAACAACACCAUAUGUUACUAGUCCAUCUGCAGAAGAGAGACCACAAUGGUUGUUCUUAGUGCUAACAGAAAAAAAAAAAACUAGUCCGAAUUCAAGACUUGGAUAGAUCACUGCUUAAACUCUUUCAAUUUUCAAAUAUACACGUACGAGAGACGAGCGGGGAAAAGCAUCAGAGAGGAGCGUUGGUUAGGACGCGUAAGCAAUUCAAUCCCAAACCGGACACGAUGGCGUAGGCGACAAUACGAGAUGGAUCCGUCCUUUUAUGCCUAUA
rnacentral:lncRNA from 1 species